rnacentral:rRNA from 1 species
AUUGAACGCUGGCGGCAUGCCUUACACAUGCAAGUCGAACGGCAGCGGACCUUCGGGUGCCGGCGAGUGGCGAACGGGUGAGUAAAGUAUCGGAACGUACCUUUCAGUGGGGGAUAACUGUCCGAAAGGACAGCUAAUACCGCAUAUUCUGUGAGCAGGAAAGCAGGGGAUCGCAAGACCUUGCGCUGAUUGAGCGGCCGAUAUCAGAUUAGCUAGUUGGUGAGGUAAAGGCUCACCAAGGCGACGAUCUGUAGCGGGUCUGAGAGGAUGAUCCGCCACACUGGAACUGAGACACGGUCCAGACUCCUACGGGAGGCAGCAGUGGGGAAUUUUGGACAAUGGGGGCAACCCUGAUCCAGCCAUGCCGCGUGAGUGAAGAAGGCCCU